UACGUAGGGUGCGAGCGUUGUCCGGAAUUAUUGGGCGUAAAGAGCUUGUAGGCGGUUUGUCGCGUCUGCUGUGAAAAUCCGGGGCUCAACCCCGGACUUGCAGUGGGUACGGGCAGACUAGAGUGUGGUAGGGGAGACUGGAAUUCCUGGUGUAGCGGUGGAAUGCGCAGAUAUCAGGAGGAACACCGGUGGCGAAGGCGGCGCACUGGACCAUAACUGACGCUGAGGCGCGAAAGCUAGGGGAGCAAACAGG
rnacentral:rRNA from 1 species